rnacentral:rRNA from 1 species
UACGAAGGGGGCUAGCGUUGCUCGGAAUCACUGGGCGUAAAGCGCACGUAGGCGGGUCGUUAAGUCAGGGGUGAAAUCCUGGAGCUCAACUCCAGAACUGCCCUUGAUACUGGCGAUCUUGAGUUCGAGAGAGGUUGGUGGAACUGCGAGUGUAGAGGUGAAAUUCGUAGAUAUUCGCAAGAACACCAGUGGCGAAGGCGGCCAACUGGCUCGAUACUGACGCUGAGGUGCGAAAGCGUGGGGAGCAAACAGG